rnacentral:rRNA from 1 species
GAUGAACGCUGGCGGCGUGCCUAAUACAUGCAAGUCGAGCGAACGGACGAGAAGCUUGCUUCUCUGAUGUUAGCGGCGGACGGGUGAGUAACACGUGGAUAACCUACCUAUAAGACUGGGAUAACUUCGGGAAACCGGAGCUAGUACCGGAUAAUAUUUUGAACCGCAUGGUUCAAAAGUGAAAGACGGUCUUGCUGUCACUUAUAGAUGGAUCCGCGCUGCAUUAGCUAGUUGGUAAGGUAACGGCUUACCAAGGCAACGAUGCAUAGCCGACCUGAGAGGGUGAUCGGCCACACUAGAACUGAGACACGGUCCAGACUCCUACGGGAGGCAGCAGUAGGGAAUCUUCCGCAAUGGGCGAAAGCCUGACGGAGCAACGCCGCGUGAGUGAUGAAGGUCUUCGGAUCGUAAAACUCUGUUAGUAGGGAAGAACAUAUGUGUAAGUAACUGUGCACAUCGUGACGGUACCUAAUCAGAAAGCCACGGCUAACUACGUG